rnacentral:tRNA from 1 species
GCCGGAGUGGCGAAAUUGGCAUACGCAGCAGACUCAAAAUCUGCCGGUACUUAGUACCGUGGGGGUUCAAGUCCCCCCUCCGGCA